GCGCAGCAGGCGCGAAUUUUUUCUCAAUGGGGGCAACCCUGAAGGAGCGACGCCGCGUGGAGGAUGAAGGCUUUUCGGGUUGUAAACUCCUGUCAUUUGAGAACAAGUGUGGGCAAGUAACUACUGCCUACUUGAUAGUAUCAGAAGAGGAAGAGACGGCUAAACUCUGUGCCAGCAGCCGCGGUAAUACAGAGGUCUCAAGCGUUGUUCGGAUUCAUUGGGCGUAAAAGGGUGCGUAGGUGGCGCGCUAAGUCAGGUGUGAAAUCUCGGGGCUUAACUCCGAAACUGCAUUUGAUACUGGCGUGCUUGAGGACUGGAGAGGAGACUGGAAUUCAUGGUGUAGCAGUGAAAUGCGUAGAGAUCAAUGAAGGAAGACCAGUGGCGAAGGCGGGUCUCUGGACAGUU
rnacentral:rRNA from 1 species